rnacentral:rRNA from 1 species
UACGAAGGGUGCAAGCGUUACUCGGAAUUACUGGGCGUAAAGCGUGCGUAGGUGGUCGUUUAAGUCCGUUGUGAAAGCCCUGGGCUCAACCUGGGAACUGCAGUGGAUACUGGGCGACUAGAGUGUGGUAGAGGGUAGCGGAGUUCCUGGUGUAGCAGUGAAAUGCGUAGAGAUCAGGAGGAACAUCCAUGGCGAAGGCAGCUACCUGGACCAACACUGACACUGAGGCACGAAAGCGUGGGGAGCAAAUAGG